rnacentral:rRNA from 1 species
GACGAACGCUGGCGGCGUGCUUAACACAUGCAAGUCGAACGGAAAGGCCCUGCUUUUGUGGGGUGCUCGAGUGGCGAACGCGUGAGUAACACGUGUGUAACCUGCCCUUGACUUUGGGAUAACUUCAGGAAACUGGGGCUAAUACCGGAUAGCAGCUCCUGCUGCAUUGUGGGGGUUGGAAAGUUUCGGCGGUUGGGGAUGGACUCGCGGCUUAUCAGCUUGUUGGUGGGGUAGUGGCUUACCAAGGCUUUGACGGGUAGCCGGCCUGAGAGGGUGACCGGCGACAUUGGGACUGAGAUACGGCCCAGACUCCUACGGGAGGCAGCAGGGGGGAAUAUUGCACAAUGGGCGGAAGCGUGAUGCAGCAACGCCGCGUGCGGGAUGACGGCCUUCGGGUUGUAAACCGCUUUCGCCUGUGACGAAGCGUGAGUGACGGUAAUGGGUAAAGAAGCACCGGCUAACUACGUG